UACGGAGGAUGCAAGCGUUAUCCGGAAUUAUUGGGCGUAAAGCGUCCGCAGGUGGCACUUCAAGUCUGUCGUCAAAGACCGGGGCUUAACCCUGGAAAGGCGAUGGAAACUGAAAGGCUAGAGAGAGGUAGGGGUAGAGGGAAUUCCCAGUGUAGCGGUGAAAUGCGUAGAGAUUGGGAAGAACAUCGGUGGCGAAAGCGCUCUACUGGACCUCACCUGACACUCAGGGACGAAAGCUAGGGGAGCGAAUGGG
rnacentral:rRNA from 1 species